AGGGUUGAACUCUUCGCCGCUUUAGGAUAUCAGCACCCGUAGUUUAAUCAGCACCAAGAUUUAAUUCCAAGUACUAGAUGAGCACUAAUGCGCCGGCGCCGUAACGGCAAUGGGAACGGCCGCGUCCCUCGUCGCCCUGGCAGAUUGUUAAGUAAAUUCGAGUACCAACUUAUUGAUAUCGAAGCGUUACGAGGAUAAGC